AGAACGAACGCUGGCGGCAGGCUUAACACAUGCAAGUCGAACGGUUGUAGCAAUACAGCAGUGGCAGACGGGUGAGUAACACGUGGGAACCUUCCUAGGGGGUACGGAACAACUCAGGGAAACUUGAGCUAAUACCGUAUACGUCCGUGAGGAGAAAGAUUUAUCGCCCCUAGACGGGCCCGUGUAGGAUUAGGUAGUUGGUGAGGUAACGGCUCACCAAGCCUACGAUCCUUAGCUGAUCUGAGAGGAUGAUCAGCCACACUGGGACUGAGACACGGCCCAGACUCCUACGGGAGGCAGCAGUGGGGAAUCUUGGACAAUGGGCGCAAGCCUGAUCCAGCCAUGCCGCGUGAGUGAAGAAGGCCUUCGGGUCGUAAAGCUCUUUUACCAGGGACGAUAAUGAACGUACGUGGAGAAUAAGCCCGGCAAACUUGCGCAGCAGCCGC
rnacentral:rRNA from 1 species